CCCUUUGCUACUAAUAUUAGUAUUUACAGUAGCAUGGACUCAAACUUUUAGGACUUUUAGUUUCUACUCGAACCACGGUGCAACGUUUCUUUUUGACAGAAAUUUUGUUUUGUUUUGUUUUCGGAUCAGUCAGUCGUAAUUUCGGAAUGUUUCGAUUCCGUUUUACCAUUAAAAGUUGUGCGCCGUGUGUUGUUUGCCGUUCAGAGAGAGUUCAUCACAUAAUGCUCCGAAACCUACCUGUCCGGCCGGAUACGCUUCAAACGAUUUUCGAUGGUAGUGGAGGAUGGAACCAUCAAAAUGUUGAAUACGAUGGUCCUUCUCUUUGCCGAUUCCCGUAGACUUUUCAUGUUGGCCGUUUAGGUGAAGCUCCAGCGGAUGGUUUGUUUUGGUUUGAAACAAUUUUAAGUGGAAGCAGAAUUUUGUUUGGUAAGUGCGAUAAAUAAUUGAAAUUGAGCUUAAAAGAAAAAUAAUUUAGCUUUGUUUUCCAGGUUUCACUAUUUCUGAAGUCAUUCGAAAAGAAGCGACUGUUUCCAAAGUUCGAUAGAGUUGCCACUUCCAGCGAAAACACAUCUCCAGUUGAAGAGCUACUCACAAGGUCAUCCGGUAGCCGCGACAACGUAGUAUAGUUUUGCCCUGAAAUCUGCCCCAAGAUUACGGAAGCCGGUUCGAUCAAUGCCCUCAAAGUGGGCUCGGAAGUUAAUGCGGUUAAGGUCAUCAUUGAAUGUGGUUCAGCAGCCUUGGGCUGCCCUAUUGGAGUCAUGUACAAAAUUUGCUUUCAAUAAUCCUAUUUUGAUAACGUUGCUUUACACUAUCAAACGCACUGGAAAAAAGAAUGUCGUUGUUUGUUAUCAUGACCACUUUGACGACCGAUCUAGAAUUCACUAGAGGGAAAAGUUUUCAGUUUAUUCUGCGUGGUAAGUUUCUUUUCAAAUUAAUAAAAAUUUAAUUACUUCCAAACCGAACAUUUCACAUUUCAGGUCAGGUGAAGGAAAACGGUUGGAGAUUACGAAUUGUUGUUUGAGUUUGUUUUCUUGAUCGAAGAGAGCUCCAAAUUGGUCUGUAACGAACGACAAGAGAAAUUGAUACCACCAUCCAAAACAUUCGUGCAAAACAAAGUUACGAAGUAGGUUAAAACUGGAAGCAGACGCCGAAUGAAAAUUUCCAUACGAGGUGCAUUAAUUUGUUUUGAUAUAGGGACAUGCAGCUACACACGACUGUUCCGCCUGUCGGGGGGAAGCAGACAAUCAACCAUAUGCUGGUUUAACGAUUCUACAAAUUGACCGCGAAUGGCAGCGCUGAUGUCACUUAAUCCGAUGGCCCAGAAUGCAUUUUUAUCAAUGCCCAAGUGUUUUGUUUUGGAAUUGUCAAGUGAACUACAAUUAUCGAUAGUAAUUGCAUUAUUUGUUACCUCUCCUGGAAUAAGCUCCGGAUGAUGCCAACAUUGAAUCAAAACCCCACGGCGGAUACAUUUUAAGCACUGCGAUAAAAUGGGCAAUGUUUGUCUGAAGUAAAUUCAACAACUACGCAAGUGCAACGCGAUUUUUGUGAAGUUCGUGGUGAAUCCUUGGAACCGAUGGAAGAAAAAGUUCAAUAAUUUUCCGG